CAGUCGCCACGGUAAUACGUAGGUGGCAAGCGUUGUCCGGAAUUAUUGGGCGUAAAGGGCUCGCAGGCGGUUUCUUAAGUCUGAUGUGAAAGCCCCCGGCUCAACCGGGGAGGGUCAUUGGAAACUGGGAAACUUGAGUGCAGAAGAGGAGAGUGGAAUUCCACGUGUGGCGGUGAAAUGCGUAGAGAUGUGGAGGAACACCAGUGGCGAAGGCGACUCUCUGGUCUGUAACUGACGCUGAGGAGCGAAAGCGUGGGGAGCGAACAGGAUUAGAUACCCCCGUAGUCCCUGUCUCUUAUAC
rnacentral:rRNA from 1 species